AUUCCAAACUUUUCCCUUUCCUGGGUGGUUUUCAGUGGGAAAAGCUUCUCCUGGUCCAUGAUUCCCACAGGGAAUGACUGGGUAAUCCCAGGAUGGGGAAGGUUUCAUGGAGCAGCUGGAAAAAAAGAGCUGCAGUGUUUGGGAAAAGGCUCCUGGAGGUGGGGAUAACCUGGGAUAAAUCUGGGAAAAGCCUUGGGAGGCUGGGAAUGGCCAGGAUAAAUCUGGGAAAAGCUCUGCCCCCUUCACUCCUCCCCUUUUCCUUCUUUUCCA